rnacentral:rRNA from 1 species
AACAGAUGAUGCCUAUCAACUGUUUAAAGUAUGGUUCUGCUAUCACUCUUGGAUGGACCUGCGGUGCAUUAGCUAGUUGGUAGGGUAACGGCCUACCAAGGCGAUGAUGCAUAGCCGAGUUGAGAGACUGAUCGGCCACAUUGGGACUGAGACACGGCCCAAACUCCUACGGGAGGCAGCAGUAGGGAAUCUUCCACAAUGGACGCAAGUCUGAUGGAGCAACGCCGCGUGAGUGAAGAAGGGUUUCGGCUCGUAAAGCUCUGUUGUUGGUGAAGAAGGACAGGGGUAGUAACUGACCUUUGUUUGACGGUAAUCAAUUAGAAAGUCACGGCUAACUACGUGCCAGCAGCCGCGGUGAU